GGGUGAGACACGCGUCCGGUAUAGGACACGAGUUGGCUUCCUGACUUGCGGGACUCCAGUAUCCCGCUUGGAACACCAUUUGUGCUGAAGUCUUGCACACCAAAACGCUAAUUUAGCCAGAGUGUUACUGCCGGCAUUGUUUUCAUUCAACACACCCUACUUUGGUAUUUUCUUCUCCACAAAUGCCCUUGUACGGUAAAAAGCCCAUGGCUUUCUGGGUUGGAAAUUAUUAAAGUGGAUGCAGACCAUGUCUCAAGAUCUCGAGAUACAUUCCAUGUCGGAUCUUCAAUGGACUAAUACCUUCAGCCAGGUAAAUGGGACCUCUUACACCGUGACUAGGGUUUUGUCAGAACUAUGUCAUAUAAAUUUUAUAGAUAAGACUUUGGCUUAAACAACCAAACAAAAGAAAACUGGGCAAAACUUCAUAAAAUUUUCAAAAAAAAUUAAAAAAACAAAGGGGAGAAACAUUGAGGCCUCGAAUGAUCACGAGAAGUGUAUGCCAGCCAUAUUGAACCGAGAGAGCAGGUAUAAGAACUCCUCUUGUGAGAGUUUCGAGGACCUUUUCUCAUAAAAGUUUUUCUCUUUCAACACAGCUAAAACUUUUUCUUUGAAUUCAGACACCUCAGUAUCAUCACCAUCCUCCACCUCCAUUUCAUCAUCUGUUCCAUCAUCCAAGUCCAUGCUGCUCUGAUCCUCCUUAUAAUCUGCCAGUCCAGACAUAUCCAUUUCAGUGUCAGUACCUGCUGAGGAACCAAUUUGAGAAGGCUGUAAUGCCCGCAGUGUCUUGUAGUUCUUUUCCAGCAAAGAUAAGACAUUUUUCAUCCUGAAUAUUGAACCGAGAGUCUUGUUCUUUCUAAUGAAACAAAUUCGUAUGAAUCCAUCCCAUUCCUUAGGAUUCACUUGGGGACGUGGUUUCCUGGGUUCAACUCGAACUACAGAGGAAUCCACCUUAGGCGGAGGCCUGAAAUUGUUCUUUCCAACUUUGAGGAGGUGAAACACUCUAGCAUAGAGCUGGGUAUUCACUGAUAGCCGGCAAUACAGAGUGUCGCCGGGUUGGGCAACAAGUCUCAUUGCAAAUUCCCUCUGGAACAUUAUAAUGGCACACCGAAAAGAAGGCUGGUGAUUCAGUAAUUUGAAUGUGAGGGGAGAGGAGAUUUGAUAAGGGAUGUUUGCCACACAUAUAUCAAAAUAGGGAAGAUCAGUCUUGAGCACAUCACCCUGAAUGACCUUUAAUCGAUUGGACAAAGGGGUGCCCUGAAAGCGGCGCUGGAGCUCGAGAACCAUGCGGGGGUCAAGUUCAACAGCAAUAACCAUUUUACCAGCUUCAAGGAGCUUUUUGGUAAGAUUUCCGGUACCGGGACCGAUCUCGAGAAUAACAUCGGUACUUUUGAUACCUGAUUUCUGGACUAUGGUGUCCACCAGUAACGGGUUCUUGAGGAUGUGCUGCCCCUUGGAUUUGUGGAAGGAUAUGCCUCCUUGGUAGUGAUUCGACGGUGCCCGUAUUGGCUUUUGCUUCUCUUUCUUGAUCUUGCCGCCGGCCAUCGUGUUAGUUUACGGUUCGGGCUUUGAGAUUCUUUAGAAGGAGGCUAGGGUUGUGCCUG
rnacentral:misc_RNA from 1 species